rnacentral:rRNA from 1 species
GAUGAACGCUAGCGGCAGGCCUAAUACAUGCAAGUCGAACGGUGUCUUCGGACAUAGUGGCGCACGGGUGCGUAACACGUAUGCAACCUACCUUACAUUGGGGGAUAGCCUUUCGAAAGGGGAGAUUAAUACCGCAUAAGACAGUAGCUGGGCAUCCAGCAGCUGUUAAAGAUUUAUCGAUGUAAGCUGGGCAUGCGUCCAAUUAGCUAGUUGGUGAGGUAACGGCUCACCAAGGCUAUGAUUGGUAGGGGAACUGAGAGGUCAAUCCCCCACACUGGCACUGAGAUACGGGCCAGACUCCUACGGGAGGCAGCAGUAGGGAAUAUUGGGCAAUGGACGCAAGUCUGACCCAGCCAUGCCGCGUGCAGGAUGAAGGCGUUAUGCGUUGUAAACUGCUUUUAUACAGGAAGAAAACGACUCUUGCGAGAGGCAUUGACGGUACUGUAUGAAUAAGCACCGGCUAACUCCGUGCCAGCACCGCGGU